rnacentral:rRNA from 1 species
AUUGUACGCUGGCGGCAGGCCUAACACAUGCAAGUCGAGCGGAUGAAGGGAGCUUGCUCCUGGAUUCAGCGGCGGACGGGUGAGUAAUGCCUAGGAAUCUGCCUGGUAGUGGGGGAUAACGUCCGGAAACGGGCGCUAAUACCGCAUACGUCCUGAGGGAGAAAGUGGGGGAUCUUCGGACCUCACGCUAUCAGAUGAGCCUAGGUCGGAUUAGCUAGUUGGUGGGGUAAAGGCCUACCAAGGCGACGAUCCGUAACUGGUCUGAGAGGAUGAUCAGUCACACUGGAACUGAGACACGGUCCAGACUCCUACGGGAGGCAGCAGUGGGGAAUAUUGGACAAUGGGCGAAAGCCUGAUCCAGCCAUGCCGCGUGUGUGAAGAAGGUCUUCGGAUUGUAAAGCACUUUAAGUUGGGAGGAAGGGCAGUAAGUUAAUACCUUGCUGUUUUGACGUUACCAACAGAAUAAGCACCGGCUAACUUCGU